rnacentral:pre_miRNA from 1 species
UUGUGUACGUGUGUGGAUGGUGUUCAGCACCAAGGACAGGCCUGUAUAAUUGUGUGUGGGUGGUGUUCAGCACCAAGGACAGGCCUGUUUAUUU